GUUUUUUUACCUUCCAGCUGAUUUAGGAAAGAGUGAUUGUUCUCAUAUUUUCCCAAGAACAGUAACAAAGUUAAUGGAUUCUGGUGUGAGUUUUGAGAAAGUUGUGGGGAGAAGAUUACUAGACAUAACAUUUGAGAAGAAACCAUUUCUAAGUAAUUUUCUCUGCUUAGGUUGUUUACCUUCAUUUUUAUGUUUGAAUCAUUUCAAAGCGCGUCUUAGGAUUCCGCAAUUGAAGGUUGAUCACACAACAGAAUGUGUUUUAAGGAACCUCAUUGCCCUAGAACAAUGUCAUUAUCAAGAACAACCUUAUAUAUGCAAUUAUGUUUCACUUGUUGAUUCUCUUAUACAUACACAUGUUGAUGUUGAUUUGUUGGUCGAGAAGGAAGUGAUUGUGCAUGAAAUGGGAAGUGAUAAAGAAGUUGCAAUGCUUGUUAAUGGUCUUUGUAAACAUGUUGUGGUGAAUUCAACUUGUUACUAUGAGAUUAUUAAU
rnacentral:lncRNA from 1 species